UUUUUCCCCAACUCCAUGAGGAAAGAAUCCUGUUUGUGUUUGUUUCCCAUAGCAGCUGCCCUGGCAUCUUUCAGAGAGAGGGAGGAUGAAUAUUUAAUGAACGCAAAGAACAAUCUUUCAUGCUAGACUCAGCUUCUGCCUUUGCUCUCCCACUCAGCCUGCUCCAGAGGAGACCCCAAGCCAGACCCACCUCAGGGUCUCCAGGUGACACUGAGGGUGACUCAGGGUCUCACAAAGGCUCUGCAAAGCAGAGAGAUUCAGUGUAUUUCCACUUAGGUCCAGCUGGUUUAGGCUUCCAGUUAUCCAGGUAUGGAGAAGAGAACCUUCCAACUGGCACUGACAUAUGUGUGUUCCUUUGGUACAGAAUUCUAGAGUCGCAGAGGCCAGAAAGGAAAGAAAGAGAUGUUGGAGACUCUUUACGUGGCUACAAAGUCUAACACAGAAAGUGAACACCAGGAGUUGAAUGUCUGUCUGGACAUACAUCCUCGUUCCUUGGAAAUGAACCAUCACCUGCACCAGGAGCUCCCCAUUCUGAAUCUCAUAAAAACAGUGAAACAAGUCCAGAGAGUAUGGGGACCAGGGCAAAGCUUCCAUUUGAGCCCACUGCAGCAGCUCCCACUUUCACUCUGGAGACAACCUGCAGGAGAAGAUCUUCUCUGCCUUCUUUGCUCUAUGAUGGCUUAACACUCCAAAUGGGAAGCAUAAUGUUGGUGUCUCAAAUAGGUCACAUGCUCCACACACUUCUAGUAAUUUUCUACACCUCUGAGGCUGUCAGGGUGUUCACUUCUCUUCUCAUUUACCCCCGGUGCACAGGACACUGCUGCAAAGAAAUCCUGGACACACUGGUGAAAGAAGCUAUAGCUCAGAGAGCUGGAGUGCCUUUGAUGAACACCUAUCUUCACGGAAGUGGAGAUGACAGCCUCAUCUAACACAUACUUCCUGAUGUCACCUGCACUGAACAGUCUUCCUUUGCUAGAUGCCUUCAGCAGCCAGAGCAGAGGCCCCUGAGCUGGGUCCCAAGGAGCUGAGUGGGAAAGCCUGGGAAAGGUGGUGCUGGCAGAAUGCCGUGGUGGUCCAAGGGGUCAAUGGGCAUUCAUCUCCCUGCUCCACAUGCUGCUUCAGGCAAGUGCAGACAAGCCAGCACACCCAGGGCACAAGACACAGGGUCAAUAUCCCUGAGUUUGAUUUCACCAAUCUAAGGGCUCUAGUUAGUUGGCUUUCAUCUGGGAAAUAUUUAUAGAAAUAUUUCCUCUUGCUGGACUCAGAUAAGCCUAGGACUUCCACUCAAUGUGGGUGCUCCAAACAAGAAGCGAACUUCUGCAGAGCUGUAUCCUGAGCUGUAAUCAGAAAGGAAGCCUUGGGAAAUAUGGUUUUACCCAGAAAACUGCCCAGGCACUGGCUGUGGCCAACUCCAUUGCACACAGAGCUUGGACCUCUAGUCUUCCAAGACCUAUUUUGACACAUCCAUAUCAUUCAGGAUGAAGAAGAGCACCUGUUCUGGCUGAGACAGGAUCUGACCAAUGAAGACCAUGGGGGCAGCUAAGUCUUUUGCCAGACUCGUACAAUGUACCUGGCCAGCUCUCUGCAGCUGAAGUAGAAGACAUGCUGGAAGUGGUCCCUGUACAGCUGGCCUUGUUCCCGGCCUCUGCGUCUGCCAGUACUUCCCAAUUCCAGAAACUCCAUGCAGUAUGGCUGUGUGAGGUUCUUCCUGAGUGCCAGCACCUGGGCCAAAUACGUCCCAGAUUUCAAUCAAGUCUCCUUUCCAUUGCAUUGUGACACCAGCUUUCCCUGACUAGGGACUCCUGCCCUCUAGGAUGAUAUUUUCUGUUGUUUGUUUUUUGUUUUUCUCUUUGUAAUGUUGGUGAUUGGAUUUAAGGGCUAUUGAAAUAUGCUCUGUGCUCCUUUUUGUAAUAUUUGUAUAUAAUAUUUGUUAAGUUGCUUGUCUUUAACUUGUGAUGUUUUGCUUUCACCUCUGGAGUAGCUGGGAUUAUAGACUUAUGCCACUGCAUCUAGCUGGUGUGAGGUUUUUGUAGCAGCUGUGUAAAUUUCUGGUACAAAUCCUGAUUUUUCCAGGAAUGUAUGGGGCAGGACUUCUCUUUCUGUUUCUGGUGUGUUUUCCAGUUCCUCUGUAAGGGAAGGAAAGGUGGAAUUUACAUACAUAGAAAAGAGUUGUUCAUUAAUUAAUUAAUUCAUUCAUUCAUUCAAGAACUGAAUGAAUUUAGAAACUCACUCCAAAUAAAAUACUGCAUUAGCUGUAAACAGUGGUAUGUUCUGCCAUUCCAGUGGAUGGAACAUGGAUGCUAGAAUAGAAAAUUCUAGUUCAAGUCUUUACUUGACCAUGUCCCUUUCCCUUAUGGCUCUUUUUUUAUUCUUCAAAAAUUUAUCAAAGGCAUAUUAGAGGCUAAGCUCUGCUCUAGGGGCUGGGAAUAAAGAAUGAACAAACAGACACAACUGUUUGCCCUCAUCAAGCCCAUCGUUCGGAUCAUUAGCCCCACCGAGCCUCAGUGUUCUCUUCUGUACCUCUGGGAUUGUGAUAUCCUCUUGGAGGAGAUCAGGGAGAUAGAGAGGAGACAAUGGAGAGUGGAGCAGUGCUGCUGACUCCUGACAGCCCUCAGUACUCACCACUGGAGGACUUGCCCGCUGGAUCCUUGUGUAAGCACUUGUGAGUGUUGGUCAGAGGGCUGUCUUGUACCCUAAAGGUAGGGAGUGCCAGAAAUGCCGGGGAGUUAAAGUUUGAGGGUGAGAGCUCCAGAGAGAACAAAAGGCAGUCAUCUGGCCCCAGGACAGGCUCCUCUGAGGCAGGAUCUACAGUGUUUCCUACACAUCUCAGCAGCAUCCAACCUCAGGUGAUGUUAUGAUUUGGGUAUCAUUUGUCCCUAUCAAUACUCAUGUUGAAAGGUAGUUGCCAUCAUAACAGUGUUGGUAUGUAAGGCUGAGUGGGAGGCAUUCCGGGUGAUGGCGAUGUACCUCACAUAACGAAUUAAUAUUUUUCUUGUGGAAAUGGAAUAGCUAUCAUAGGAAUUGGGGCCUCUUUCCUCUCUUCUUCAGUUGCGUGUUUGCCCUUCUGCUUUUUUCUUUCCCCAUCAAACAUGGAGCAGCACCAGGUCUUCACCAGAAGCCAAGCAGGUACGACUGUUAGAUCUCGAAUGCACAGCCUCC
ensembl:lncRNA